rnacentral:rRNA from 1 species
GACGAACGCUGGCGGCGUGCCUAAUACAUGCAAGUAGAACGCUGAAGGAGGAGCUUGCUUCUCUGGAUGAGUUGCGAGCGGGUGAGUAACGCGUAGGUAACCUGCCUGGUAGCGGGGGAUAACUAUUGGAAACGAUAGCUAAUACCGCAUAAGAGUAGAUGUUGCAUGACAUUUGCUUAAAAGGUGCAAUUGCAUCACUACCAGAUGGACCUGCGUUGUAUUAGCUAGUUGGUGAGGUAACGGCUCACCAAGGCGACGAUACAUAGCCGACCUGAGAGGGUGAUCGGCCACACUGGGACUGAGACACGGCCCAGACUCCUACGGGAGGCAGCAGUAGGGAAUCUUCGGCAAUGGACGGAAGUCUGACCGAGCAACGCCGCGUGAGUGAAGAAGGUUUUCGGAUCGUAAAGCUCUGUUGUAAGAGAAGAACGAGUGUGAGAAGUGGAAAGUUCAC